CGGGGGGGGCAAGCGUUGUUCGGAAUUACUGGGCGUAAAGGGCUCGUAGGCGGCCAUCUAAGUCAGACGUGAAAUCCCUCGGCUUAACCGGGGAACUGCGUCUGAUACUGGAUGGCUUGAGUUUGGGAGAGGGAUGCGGAAUUCCAGGUGUAGCGGUGAGAUGCGUAGAUAUCUGGAGGAACACCGGUGGCGAAGGCGGCAUCCUGGACCAAUACUGACGCUGAGUGAGCGAAAGCCAGGGGAGCAAACGGGAUUAGAUACCCCGGUAGUCCUGGCCCUAAACGAUGAAUGCUUGGUGUGACGGGUAUCGAUCCCUGUCGUGCCGAAGCUAACGCAUUAAGCAUUCCGCCUGGGGAGUACGGUCGCAAGGCUG
rnacentral:rRNA from 1 species